GAAAAGGAGACACACGCUCAUCUGGUGAAAGAGAAGUUAGACCUGAUGUCCCAGGUGGAGAAUCUGAAAGGCAAAGUGGAGGUUUGGGUGAACUGCUGGCUGAAAACGCAGGCAGUGUGCUGAGGCCUUGUUGGAGUGUUCCAUUGCAAAGAGCAUCCAAACUAUGACCAAAUCCAAGGAGGAGACUUUAGAGCAGGAAAAAGAUUCAAUUAGGGUCUCUCUGUGUGAAGCUGAGACGAAGUACAGUGAGGUGAUGAAGACCAACACUAAGCUGGAGAAUGAGAACAGUACCCUGCAUUUCACUGUGGUCAGACUGCAAGACUUGGUGCAUAACUUAAAGAAAGAGCUCUCUGAGACCAAGAGAACGUGUAAUGGGCACUGAGAGAGUGUGAGCAAGAGCGGGAGGCUUACAGCAUCAUGAAGUCUGUGUGAUCAGAUGAAGGAAACUCUGUCUAACCAAGAGAAAUUUCAUACGGUAUUAUUUCACACAUUAUAGAAGUGUGUGUGUGUGUGUGUGUGUGUGUGUGUGUGUGUGUGUGUGUGUGUGUGUGUGUGUGUGUGUGUGUGUCUUUAGUCCACAAGUGGCGGUCUACAAGGUGGCCAAGAAGUGAAAAACAAAACAACAAUUCAGAAAACACAACAACAUAAACAAAAAAAGGUUCAAAUGAUGCAAUGCAUUUAACACCGGACUCGUCAGGCAGAACAAAGCAUGCUGAACUAGUUUAUUCUGAGUUGAUGCCAAGUGAGAUCCAACAUCUCUAAGCUGGGAGACAUUUUACUGGAGUAACAUUAAUCAGUUUUUAUUGUGAGCAUAUUUAACAAUAUAAUUCCACAGUAAAAUUGAAUGAUCUUUACCAUGAGCAUUGAGUAGGUGACUAUGAAAUGAUCUGAGAUGGUUUGAUUAACAUUUUAUAAUGGGUUUAAU